AAUUAAAUAAUAAGGUAGCCCAUUUCUUAUUAAAAAUCGGCCCAAGACUCGGCCCAAAAUAAAGAAAUAACACGGCCCAGAUGAUUUAAUUCGGCCCAAAAUAGGUGCCCAAAAUAAUUAAAAGCCCAAGUAAAAUAAAUGAAGAGGCCCAAAACUAAAAAUUUUCGGCCCAACUGAAAAAAAAACAAGGCCCAAUCAUUUAAAAUUUGAGAGCCCAACUCUCUUUCUCUCCCAACAACUCUCGGUCCAUCCCUUUUCUCUCUCAAGGAGCCGAUCUCUCUCUCUAAUUUCUCAAAUCAGACGCCACCCAAUACCCCUCUCUUUCUCUCUCGAUCAGCCCCCUGCCGAGGAGUACGCCGCCUCCAAUUCCGGUCGUUCUAGUCGGCGCUGCGCCUGAGCCCGCGCUCUUCUCCUCUCUCUAAAUCAUCUUCUCCACUGUUCUUCCGCUGAUUUCGUCCAUGGCAAAAAGGCGAGCCCUGAAACGAGCCCUAACCCAAGAAGUCAUCGCCGCUGUCGCUGCUACUCCUUCGCCCGGAAUCGGCGAUUCAGCCGGCGCUCUCUCAUCCUGUCAUCUCAAUUCAUCAAUUCCCCAACAUAACUCCCCCUAUCUCCAAAAUCGAAAACACAUCGCAGCACCACUUCUUCUUCCUCGAAGAUUCACCGCCGCCGCUGGCACCUUAAGCUCCGGCGAAAUCGGCAUCAAGUCGUUGGAGUACCGGCGAGCAGGGGAGGGUUCGCCGUUGCUGCUAUCUCCGGGUCGAAGGUUUGAGCCACGCCACGCUGCUGCUGGAUUCGGGCGAAGGGUACUCCGCCGCUGCUGAAAUCCAGAAUCGGCGAGAGCCAUCGCCGAGGUCGGGAGUCUUCUACCUUUCACCGCUCGACGCCGUCAACGCUGCUGUCCUUGGAACCGCCGCUGCUGCGCACGAGUCCGGCGUGCCUCUGCACGUCGCCGUGAUUCACGGUUGGCGCUUGGAUCCCCUUGAGCCGUCGCCCAAUCAUCGCUUCAUGGCUCGACCGAACAGGCUGCGCCCUUUUCCAUUCGAAGCUAAGUUCAUUCUUAAUACUCUAUUGUGAACGAAACUCAAAGCUUGUUGUAACUCAGUUCAUGAUUCUAUUGAGCUAUAGUAUUUCUAUAAUUCGAUUAUGCAGUGGGUAAAACUAGCCAUAGUGGUUUGUUUCUAUUUCGAAAGUCCUCAUUGUCUAACUCAUGAAUAACACAUAAAAAAACUGACUUUAGUUGAUUGCUAUGUCCAUUAUGCAACAAUGUUUUCUAUCAUUAUAUACAGAUCAUGCUUUGAUAUGCAUACAACUGGAUUGAAUAUUUGGUAUUGAAUUAAUACCUUGAAAAUGACUGUUGGUUGGCUGAUUGUCGUUGGUUUAAAUGAAGCUGAUAGAAUCUGAAAUAGAAUCAUAUGAUGUUCCCCUUAAUAAUGCAGGAGGAAUACAUGGCAGAGCUAGAGAGAGUUGAAGUAUGGCUUACCCCUUUGAACUUGGCAGAGUAAUGAAUGAAGGUUAUCUCUCUACUCCUUCAAUUGUUGAGGUGGAAGAAUGUGGUGUUGUUUGGCUGGAGUUAACUAAGUGAGGAGGAGUUGUUGCUCUUCAAUUGGCUUGACAAAGUGUAGUGGUGGUGUUGUAUGAAUGGGGAGAAAAGCAUGGUGGAGCGAAAAAGAAAGUUUGUGUAAUGAUACUGAUGACUUUGUAUGUUAUUAUGAGUUGUGGACAUCAAUGUAUCAAUGUGAUUGGAAUAUUGUAUAUUGUUACUGGUAGUUGUAAAAAUAUGUUGUGUGCGUGUAAUACUGUUUUAUCGAA